UGGCGGCAGGCCUAACACAUGCAAGUCGAGCGGUAGAGAGAAGCUUGCUUCUCUUGAGAGCGGCGGACGGGUGAGUAAUGCCUAGGAAUCUGCCUGGUAGUGGGGGAUAACGUUCGGAAACGGACGCUAAUACCGCAUACGUCCUACGGGAGAAAGCAGGGGACCUUCGGGCCUUGCGCUAUCAGAUGAGCCUAGGUCGGAUUAGCUAGUUGGUGAGGUAAUGGCUCACCAAGGCGACGAUCCGUAACUGGUCUGAGAGGAUGAUCAGUCACACUGGAACUGAGGCACGGUCCAGGCUCCUACGGGAGGCAGCAGUGGGGAAUAUUGGACAAUGGGCGAAAGCCUGAUCCAGCCAUGCCGCGUGUGUGAAGAAGGUCUUCGGAUUGUAAAGCACUUUAAGUUGGGAGGAAGGGUUGUAGAUUAAUACUCUGCAAUUUUGACGUUACCGACAGAAUAAGCACCGGCUAACUCUGUGCCAGCAGCCGCGGUAAUACAGAGGGUGCAAGCGUUAAUCGGAAUUACUGGGCGUAAAGCGCGCGUAGGUGGUUUGUUAAGUUGGAUGUGAAAUCCCCGGGCUCAACCUGGGAACUGCAUUCAAAACUGACUGACUAGAGUAUGGUAGAGGGUGGUGGAAUUUCCUGUGUAGCGGUGAAAUGCGUAGAUAUAGGAAGGAACACCAGUGGCGAAGGCGACCACCCGGACUAAUACUGACACUGAGGUGCGAAAGCGUGGGGAGCAAACAGGAUUAGAUACCCUGGUAGUCC
rnacentral:rRNA from 1 species